rnacentral:lncRNA from 10 species
GUUUUCUCAGAGCUGCUGGGGGGACAGAUAUAUGGGGUUCAUUCCCCCACUCUGUCCUGCCUCCGUUUAACCUCUAAGGUUGCCAGCCUCUCUGAGAUACAGUCCUGUUGUCGCCACACCUCAGAGAUCCUUUCAUUCAUUCUUUCUGGAUUUACUGAGCACCUGACUUAUGUCAGGUAAGCAGCCCCCUGGUGGUCCUGGAAGGCAAAUGAAGAAAUACAUACAAUUCAGGGGAGUUUGUGGAACUGUGUGAACUCCAGACAGAGUGGAAGGAGUGGGCAGUUCUGACUGCUGGGGAAGCAUGCUGACAGUGGGCAGGCCUUCCUGGCAGGGGUGGUAGAGGGAACAGAGCUGCAAGGCAGAAGACACCCAGUUAUUGGGGAAGGGUCUGUAGUGCAGUCUGUGGAGCUAGGUGUGAGGAGGGCUCACUUGGAACUGUGGGGCAGGGCCAGGCUUGGGCAGCAUUGCCCCCUGAGCUGCAUGAGUCAUGUCCAUAGGAUACCCCUACCCAGCUCUCACAGUGGUUAGGAACACAGGUCAGCACUUAUAAGCUAGGUAUAUCUUGGGCAAAUUCUGUAGCCUGUCUGCCUUGGUUUCCUCAUCUGUAUAAUCGAGAUAAUGCUGGUAUUGCUUCAUAGGGUUAUUGUGAGGAUUAACUGAGUUAAUACACAACAGGUGCUUAGGAGCAGUGCCUGGCACGUAAGAAACAACAUAGAAGUGUUUUCAUUGCUAUGAUGCUUGAGGGGUGAGCAUAGGAGGGAUGGCGUCUCCUCAAAAACAGCGUCCCCCAGCUCAGUCUCUUGACCCCCACAGCCUGCCUCCCAGCUCUCUUCAUUCUAUCCUGUCCUCCACAACUGACCAACUGACUUCCCUCCUUGACUCUACCCAUAUACCUAGCUACUAGAAUUAACAAUUACUAAUAUUUUCCAUAUUUGUUUCACCUAUAUUUGGAUGAAGUAAUUUUAAGUAAAUUUUAGACAUCAUGACAUUUCACCCCUGAGGACAUAACUUGCAUCUCUAAAAACUAAGGACUUUCUUUUCAUAACCACAAUAUUGUUAUCCCACUACCAAAUUGCAAGUAACUCCUUUAUAUCAUCCAAUACCCAGUCUGCAUUCAUAUUUCCCAGUUCUCAGGAUACAUUUUGCAGUUUUUGAGCCAGAAUCUGAACAAGGCCUACAUAAUUGGUUUUGGUUUUUAUGUCUCUUAAGUUUCUUCUAUUCUAGAAGAGCCCCUCCCAUCCUUUUUUUCCUUUUUUAAUGACUUUUUUUUUUUUUUUUUUUUGAGACGGAGUCUCGCUCUGUCGCCCAGGCUGGAGUGCAGUGGCGCGAUCUCGGCUCACUGCAAGCUCCGCCUCCCGGGUUCACGCCAUUCUCCUGCCUCAGCCUCCCGAGUAGCUGGGACUGCAGGCGCCCGCCACCACGCCCAGCUAAUUUUUUGUAUUUUUAGUAGAAGCGGGGUUUCACUGUGUUAGCCAGGAUGGUCUCGAUCUCCUGACCUCAUGAUCCGCCCGCCUCUGCCUCCCAAAGUGCUGGGAUUACAGGCGUGAGCCACCGCGCCCGGCCAAUUGACAUUUUUAAAAGUCUUUCAGAGUGUGGUUUUUUGGAUUUGUCUUGUUGCUUUCUAGUGGUGUCACUUAACUUGUUCCUCUAUCCCCUGUAUUUCCCAUGAACUGAAAGUUAGAUCCAAAGGCUGGGUUAGACUUAGGUUAAAUUUCUCACUGUCACUGUCUCUGUUUCUCUCUCUGUGUCUCUCUGUCUCCCCCUGCCCCCCUCUGCUUUUGGCAAGACUAGUUCCUAGGUGAUACUAUGUACUUUGUACUGCCUCAUGUUGGAAUGCACACAGUGUCUGCUUGUCUUGCUGUUAGCAGCACUAAGGUUGACCAAUGAGGUCAUGUGGGGACAACAAGAGCAGGUUUCUCAAAGCCAGUGUCUGUGAGGACUCAAAAGACAUUUUGCGGAUACAAAUGCUAAACCUCAGACCAGUCAGCAGAAAGAGAGAAAGAGAACAAGUGUGUGAACACGGGGAAACCAGUGGCUGUCUUUCUUUCCUUCUCCGUCCCCAUUGCUGUCUUCC